rnacentral:rRNA from 1 species
GACGAACGCUGGCGGCGUGCGUAACACAUGCAAGUCGAACGAGAGAGUGAGAGAAGCUUGCUUUUCUUAUGAUCGAGUGGCAAACGGGUGAGUAACGCGUAAACAACCUGCCCCGCAGAUGGGGACAACAGCUGGAAACGGCUGCUAAUACCGAAUACGGUCCUCUUAGCGCAUGGUAAGAGGAAGAAAGGGUGGCCUCUGGAACAAGCUACCGCUGUGGGAGGGGUUUGCGUCUGAUUAGCUGGUUGGAGGGGUAACGGCCCACCAAGGCGACGAUCAGUAGCCGGUCUGAGAGGAUGAACGGCCACAUUGGAACUGAGACACGGUCCAGACUCCUACGGGAGGCAGCAGUGGGGAAUCUUCCGCAAUGGGCGAAAGCCUGACGGAGCAACGCCGCGUGAGUGAAGACGGCCUUCGGGUUGUAAAGCUCUGUUAUAGGGGACGAACGGCCGGGUAGCGAAGAGGUACCCG